rnacentral:lncRNA from 1 species
UAGAGGAGAAAACUGAUUUGAACAUGCUGCCUUUUCAUUUUGUGGUUCAUGAUUUUCUUUAUUAAAAUUUUAUUGCAGCAUUUUAUUUGCAUUUAACAUUUUUGAUUCCAGCAAGUUAAGUUUUCAAUUUUAAUUCAACUUUUCCCUUGCGGCAUCUUUCUUUUAUUUUUGUUUUUUUUGCAAGCGCUGCAAUCAUUAAUAGGUUCAGCCGCCACAUAGAACAAUAGGCUUUUGCUUUGAACAUUUGAUGAAAAUGGAAAAACACACUUUCUUUGUCAUGGGAAUAAAACAAUGAUUUACUUUUGGGAG